CAGUAGUCAUAUGCUUGUCUCAAAGAUUAAGCCAUGCAUGUCUAAGCACAAACUUUUACACAGUGAAGCUGCGAAUGGCUCAUUAGGUCACCCAUGAUUUCUUAGAUCGUACAAUCCUACUUGGAUAACUGUGGUAAUUCUAGAGCUAAUACAUGCAACCAAGCUCCGACCCGUCGUGGGGAAGAGCGCGUUUAUUAGAUCAAAACCAAUCGGGUCGUCGUUUCGGCGGCGACUCGCUCGUUUGGUGACUCUGGAUAACUUCGAGCUGAUCGCACGGCCUCGCGCCGGCGACGUAUCUUUCAAGUGUGUGCCCUAUCAACUUUCGAUGGUACGUGAUAUGCCUACCAUGGUUGUAACGGGUAACGGGGAAUCAGGGUUCGAUUCCG
rnacentral:rRNA from 3 species